AUGUUUAUGAAUAUUAACUAUUAAAGCAACAAAGAAAAAUUGAUGAACAAAUUAUGAUGAGAAAACAUGUGACAGAAAUUUAACAGAGAAAGUCGCUUAUACAGCAAUAAUAAUUUCAGGAACAGCACUGAAAUAAAUAAUGUAUUAUUAACUGAACUUAAAGUUAAAAAGGGAGAAGUAAAGUGGAAUUAUUUAAUUAAACUUGAAUUGAGUUUUUUUUUUUUUUCAAAUUCAAAUGUGAAUUCUGCUGAAUGUGUUCUGUGAGGUGGAGUCAAUGCAAACAUGGACGUCUUCCUCCUCUACUUAUCUGACAGCAGAGAUGACAGCAGAGAAGACUGAAGUCAGUUUAACAUGAUGGACUGUAGGACAGGACUGCUGCUUUUAACUCUCUGUUAUGCAGUUGUUGAUGGAGUGACUCUGACUGAGUCUGGACCUGUGGUUAAAAGACCUGGAGAAUCCCACAAACUGACCUGUUCAGCCUCUGGAUUCACUUUCAGCAGCUAUCCCAUGAACUGGAUCAGACAGGCUCCUGGAAAAGGACUGGAGUGGAUCGCUUAUAUCAGCAGUGGCAGCAGCAGCAUCUACUACUCAGAGUCAGUGAAAAACCGCUUCACCAUCUCCAGAGACAACAGCAGAGAGCAGGUGUAUCUGCAGAUGAACAGUCUGAGAGCUGAGGAUUCUGCUGUUUAUUACUGCGCUCAAGAGACACAGUGA